GUCAGGAUGGCCGAGCGAUCUAAGGCGCUAGACUCAAGGUAGACACCUUUCCAGUAUACUGGAGCAUCGGCGUUCUAGUUCCAUGUGGGCGUGGGUUCAAAUCCCACUCCUGACA